rnacentral:rRNA from 1 species
CUCGUAGGCGGCUUGUUAAGUCGGAUGUGAAAGCCCCGGGCUCAACCUGGGAACUGCAUUCGAUACUGGCAAACUAGAGUAUAGAAGAGGCAAGUGGAAUUCCAGGUGUAGCGGUGAAAUGCGUAGAUAUCUGGAGGAACAUCAGUGGCGAAGGCGACUUGCUGGUCUAAUACUGACGCUGAGGAGCGAAAGCGUGGGGAGCAAACAGGAUUAGAUACCCUGGUAGUC